GACCACAGAGAAUCACCUAGCUUAGUAGUGAUGUCCAGGUCCUAUUACACGACCACAGAGAAUCACCUUGCUUAGUAGUGAUGUCCAGGUCCUAUUACAGGACCACAGAGAAUCACCUAGCUUAGUAGUGAUGUCCAGGUCCUAUUACACGACCACAGAGAAUCACCUUGCUUAGUAGUGAUGUCCAGGUCCUAUUACAGGACCACAGAGAAUCACCUAGCUUAGUAGUGAUGUCCAGGUCCUAUUACACGACCACAGAGAAUCACCUUGCUUAGUAGUGAUGUCCAGGUCCUAUUACAGGACCACAGAGAAUCACCUAGCUUAGUAGUGAUGUCCUGGUCCUAUUACAGGACCACAGAGAAUCACCUAGCUUAGUAGUGAUGUCCUGGUCCUAUUACAGGGCCACAGACAAUCACCUAGCUUUGUAGUGAUGUCCAGGUCCUAUUACAGGACCACAGAGAAUCACCUAGCUUAGUAGUGAUGUCCUGGUCCUAUUACAGGACCACAGAGAAUCACCUAGCUUAGUAGUGAUGUCCAGGUCCUAUUACAGGACCACAGAGAAUCACCUAGCUUAGUAGUGAUGUCCUGGUCUUAUUACAGGACCACAGAGAAUCACCUAGCUUAGUAGUGAUGUCCAGGUCCUAUUACAGGACCACAGAGAAUCACCUAGCUUAGUAGUGAUGUCCAGGUCCUAUUACAGGACCACAGAGAAUCACCUAGCUUAGUAGUGAUGUCCAGGUCCUAUUACAGGACCACAGAGAAUCACCUAGCAUAGUAGUGAUGUCCAGGUCCUAUUACAGGACCACAGAGAAUCACCUAGCUUAGUAGUGAUGUCCAGGUCCUAUUACAGGACCACAGAGAAUCACCUAGCUUAGUAGUGAUGUCCAGGUCCUAUUACAGGACCACAGAGAAUCACC
rnacentral:lncRNA from 1 species